AUUGAACGCUGGCGGCAUGCCUUACACAUGCAAGUCGAACGGCAGCACGGGAGCAAUCCUGGUGGCGAGUGGCGAACGGGUGAGUAAUAUAUCGGAACGUGCCCAGUCGUGGGGGAUAACGUAGCGAAAGCUACGCUAAUACCGCAUACGAUCUAUGGAUGAAAGCGGGGGAUCGCAAGACCUCGCGCGAUUGGAGCGGCCGAUAUCAGAUUAGGUAGUUGGUGAGGUAAAGGCUCACCAAGCCGACGAUCUGUAGCUGGUCUGAGAGGACGACCAGCCACACUGGGACUGAGACACGGCCCAGACUCCUACGGGAGGCAGCAGUGGGGGAAUUUUUGGACAAUGGGGGCAACCCUGAUCCAGCAAUGCCGCGUGAGUGAAGAAGGCCUUCGGUU
rnacentral:rRNA from 1 species